ensembl:misc_RNA
CAGACUUCACAACGAUUUGAUAACCAUGUACAGGAUGUUGGUUUAAGUCUCUCCCAAUUUUCUAGUAACCUCACUGGGCUAGACGGGGCUCAAUAUACCUCUUCACCAAUGGCAUGGCUUCUGAUCACAUCUGGUGUCACC